rnacentral:rRNA from 1 species
GCGUUAAUCGGAAUUACUGGGCGUAAAGCGUGCGCAGGCGGUUUGUUAAGACCGAUGUGAAAUCCCCGGGCUCAACCUGGGAACUGCAUUGGUGACUGGCAAGCUAGAGUAUGGCAGAGGGGGGUAGAAUUCCACGUGUAGCAGUGAAAUGCGUAGAGAUGUGGAGGAAUACCGAUGGCGAAGGCAGCCCCCUGGGCCAAUACUGACGCUCAUGCACGAAAGCGUGGGGAGCAAACAGGAUUAGAUACCCUGGUAGUCCACGCCCUAAACGAUGUCAACUAGUUGUUGGGGAUUCAUUUCCUUAGUAACGAAGCUAACGCGUGAAGUUGACCGCCUGGGGAGUACGGUCGCAAGAUUAAAACUCAAAGGAAUUGACGGGGACCCGCACAAGCGGUGGAUGAUGUGGAUUAAUUCGAUGCAACGCGAAAAACCUUACCUACCCUUGACAUGGUCGGAAUCCUAGAGAGAUCUGGGAGUGCUCGAAAGAGAACCGAUACACAGGUGCUGCAUG